GACAGAGGACAACUUUUGGAAGUACAUUCUCUCUGUUCCCUGUGCGAUCUGAGGAACUACAGGUGAGCCCCAGAUCUUUCUUCUGUUUUGCGGGAUGUGUUUAGUGCACAGGUCCCAUGCUAAUCUCCAGCUCUCUUGGGAACUGGGGUUUACUUAGCUUUGUGUCCAUGGCUCUGGCAUAACUAAGCAGCUCUAGUGUGGGAUGCUCCAACCCACUCAGGAAACAAUACACUGUAGCUUUUCCUCUGUAUGGCUGCAGAACAGAUAAGAGACAUCUCUGCCAGUCCCACACUGUAUGUGAGGUAAAGGAUGACCAUAUAGUACCAACCCCCACCUCCUGCUCUCCUGUCCUGUUGGGAAUCGCUGAGUUCUUGCUCUUUGUUGAUCUCAGGACUGGGUUGUGACUGGCCCUCUUAGCCAGCUACUAUUAACCACCUACAGUCAUCCUUUCCAUCCUCCAAGCUUCAAUUACAGCUGUGUUCCAGCCACGGGACCUCUGACCCUAGUUCAGAUGAAUUUGAACUUCUCCCUGGUUCCCCUAGAAGCUUGAACGCGGGAGUUCCAGGCCUAAUCAAAGAACUGCCCCCUGCUGGGAUGGCCUCUUGGAGGUUGUGGUACUAUGAUUGGGAGAUAAUCUUGCGUGUGUGUCUCUCUCUGCUUCCCCAGUGGUGCCACACACAGUGACUGUGAUGGCCAUACUAACCCCUGAAAGAUUGCAUGGCCACCAUGGCCACCCACUGCUUGACUAAAUUCUUAUAAGUCCUGUGAUAGAGUCAAUGGUUGCUUUCUAAAGCCUCCAAGGGAUGGGGUCAUUUAUUAGGCAGUAAUAGAUAACUGAAGGAAUCAACUCAGACAGCCUAAGGGAUGAUGAUCAGGGACUGGGUAUCAACAUGUCCCUAUUGGCUAUAAUGCAGCCUCGGCCAUCCCAGGGAUGGCCUACUGUGCUAGCCACUGGCCAGCCAGCACCGCCACAUGCUGCCUGCCUUUCCAGGGCCUGCCAAGGCCUCUGCCCUGAGGCUGGCAGAUUUCAUCCAUCUCUAUCACUUGGAGCACCUGGCUUGGGUGUUGUCACAGUUAAGGCUUCCAGUGAUUGUGACCAGGAUGGAUGAGAAAAGGAACAGAUCCAAGUCUGGAGGUGGGCUGCAGGCUGCUGCAUCGCAGGGGAUAUUAAUUAUACAGUACAGAGGUGUUUGCUGAACCAGAACUCUACAGCAAAGGGCAUGGUGAGAGAGCAGAGGCAGGUAAGCCAGGCAGAGGGGCAGAGAGGCAGGUGACCAGAGGCUACAUUGUGGCUCUGGGGCUGAGGGUGAGGGUCAAAAACCAACUUGAGCAUUGGAGUCCAGAAGCCACAAUGGAAGGGGAAUCAGGCAGAUUUCAUUAAAAUGGCGACUAGAGAGCCCAUUGUUAUAUACCCAUUGCUAUUGAGGAUGAGGCUGGCACACACGUGACCAGAGCUUAUUUUGUGGAGUAUAAGGUGGAAUCAGUACUGGGGAGACCAAACGAGAACUUUGGGGCUUGGGGCCUGACCUUUAGUUACUACUUUUUGCCAUAUUCUUUGAGCCAGCCUCCUCUCUAGUAAAUACAAAGCUCGAGGAAAAGAACGAGAGUUUUGGCUUUGCUGAGGACACAGUUAAUAUGUGCGCCUGAGGACCAGCAUCGCAUGGGAAAGGUGCUGACCCAGGCAGUGCUGCUGAGCAUGGAGGAGGAGGACAGCUGAAUGACUGAAAACUGCCUCUUCCCACUGCACAGCACUAUGUCCUUCCUUGAUUGUGGUUCUCCCGCCAUUCAGGAUGCCUGUCUUGAAGAGUCCUUUAAUUUAUCAAUGAAGGUUAGAUCCUGCUUAAAGCAAUGUUCUUUUAAGUCAACUGAUUCACUUCUCAGGGGUGUUUUAAAUUUAUAGGGAGAUGGAGAUUAGAGUGCAGAGUUGGAUGUAAUAGUUACCAAUAGUUAACAUCUACCAUCAGCACCGCUCUUCUUUUGCAUGUCUCCAUCCGUUUCCAGAGUUCACGAUAGGUUCCCUCUGGAUUUGGUACAUUCUUUGCUAUCUGUGGUCAUUGGGGACCAUGAUUCCACCAGGGUCUGUGGGCUGAAUCCUCACCUCCAACCUGGUGAUUCCAUCCUGCCUGUCUGCCUCAACUCUGAGAGCUCACUGUGUGCCAGUGUGGUACUCAACAGGCACCUUUGGGAUUUAUAAAUAUUUCUCAAUUCUCCUCCCAGACUUCAGGCUACCCACUUCUGGGGUUUUCCUUUUUGCUGCUGCCUCUGGCUUCUCACUGCUUUCCAGAACACGGCCCACUACUACAGCCUGAGCCAGGGAACAGAACUUUAUGAAUAUGACUUUAUGGAAAAGAAAAGCAAACGUUGGAGAAGUUUCACAGCCUUUACUCUGCAACGAGGGUUCAAAUUCGAUGGUUUGAAGCCGUCCUCCAGCCACCUCCGCAAGCUCGCAAGGAUGCUCUCAGAACUGCUGACAUCUCUUUCUCACUGGAUCAAGGACUCUACAGACACCAAGUUCCAGGUGCGGAACUGAGGCCCUCGGUUGCACUGUAGGUCAUGGAGGAACACUUGCUUGAGCUGCUCACUAAGGUGAAUGACUCUUCUCCGCCUUAGUCUCCUGUCUCGGGGAGGAUAUAGACUAGCAGAGCUCUGAUACACACUAUCAUUUAGGAGCCAGAUCUUUCCAUGUGGUGAGCUCCCUGAGGGUUUCCAGAGCCUCUGCAGUCAGCCAUCUUGGGGAGCUAAGAGGCAUUCUUAGCCUGAGCCUGGAAGAGGCAUGAGACCAUGGCUCGCUUCUAACUGUCCAGAGCUCAUAUUUUUCCAGAUGACUGAGAAUGAGCCCAGCUGUGUCUGGAGGGAAAGCCAAGCCCCAUGGCAUCUGAGUCAUGACUUCCUCCAAAGGCUGAUGGCGUAUGGAGGCCUUCUGACAUUGUCUGUUUCUUAUGAGGUCGUGUGGGAAGCAGGGGAAGGGACUAUCUAUGACAUGUCCUUUCUCCCGUGGUUAUAUGAAAUCACAGAGGCUGCUGGGCAUUUACUCUCCCUUUCAGGGUCAACAGGGAUGAGAGCCAUCUAGAACAUUCCUCACAUGGUCUGAGGGAAUAGCUGAGGCCGUCUGGCAUGUGCCCUUCCUCGUAAGGAUGUAUGGGAAUGAAGGAGGCCAGGCCUGCAGAGGAUGGCGGAUGGCUAGAGAGAGCCGAUGGCAACUGAAUGGAAAGUGGGAGACUGAUGUGCAACCCUGAGUCCUAAUCAACCGGCUCAGAGCCCCUGUGAGCAGACAUUGUACUGUAGCGAACCCUAAGGUGCAGCUCUGGGUUCCCUGUGAGGAGACACUUUGUAAGGCUCUAACAUGCUACCUUGUGUUCCCUAUAAGUAUACACUAUACAGAACCCUAGUAUCCCACCCUGGGGUCCCCUAUGAGGGUAUAGUGUAUAUAAUCCUGAACCCUGAUUCAGACAAAACUGCUUCUUUAUGACAUCAUACUUUAUGACAUCAUACUGAGACUGAAGCAAAACCACUUCUGAGAUCAUUCCUGGGUAUAACAAAGCCAAGUCCACAGCAGCCACAGUGUGGCAGAUGCCACUCCCCUGGCUCAUUUGAUGGCCAGAAGCUCUGACUAGAAGGUCUGCUGCCUUCCUCAGGCUUCCUACCAGAGACUCCUACCCUGGCAAAGACCUUAUCAGGGUCCCAGUGGGCCUUUGUCUUAGUUAUAGUUUCUACUGCUUAUCAUGAACAAAAGCAACUUUUCAUCCUACAACUUGUAGUCCACCAUCUAGGGGAUGCAGGGAAGGAACUCAGGGCAGACACUGAUGCAUAGACCAUGGAAGAGUGCUUGCUCACUUAUAACUUGCUCACCAUUUCUUACACCACCAAUGACCACCUGACCAAGGGUGUCACCACCUAUGGCGAGCUGGAUCUAACCAUCAACCAUCAAUCAAGAAAAGGCACCACACACUUACCUGUAGGCCAGUCUUGUUAGGAGCAUUUUCUCAAUUCAGAUUCCCUCUUCCAAAAUGGCUAUAGCUUGUGUCGAGUUGGCAAAAAACUAGCCAACACAGACUUGGCAUCUGUAUUCCUACUUCCCUACCACAAACCUAUCUCAGCUGUCCUGUGUCUUUCUCUUAUGUUACAUUCACUAAGUUCCAGAAUUUUCUUGAGUGUGCCCUGGGUCAGCACAGGUGGAAGGGUACCCUCUGUGUCCUGAGUUGGGAUAACACUGCAGGGCUUAGGGCUGUUGGCAAGGAGGGGCAUGCACACAGGCUGUGAGGACUGACAAUUCAGCAUGGUGGAUGGGAGAAAAUGCAGCUGCCUUUGUGGGGACUAUCUGCCCCAAACAAUAAUUUCCAUAGAAACCAGGAAUGUGAGUGGGUACUAAACCCCAGAACAUGAAGCAUCUUUUACUCCUAGAUAUCCCAAAAGAAACCUGAUCCCAUCCUAGAUGGCUUUAAUGGAGCCCUUUCUAUGGCCCUGUGUCUUCAGCUUCUGCCUUCACAGGUAGGAAUCAGAAAGGAGAAUAGUGAAACAAGAAUUCCUUGUUUAGCCAGCCCUGGGUGAGCAUG